AAACUUCGGUCGAUUUAAUUUAAUUCUAGUGGCGGACGGGUGAGUAACGCGUGGGUAACCUGCCUUAUACAGGGGGAUAACAGUCAGAAAUGGCUGCUAAUACCGCAUAAGCGCACAGAGCUGCAUGGCUCAGUGUGAAAAACUCCGGUGGUAUAAGAUGGACCCGCGUUGGAUUAGCUUGUUGGUGGGGUAACGGCCCACCAAGGCGACGAUCCAUAGCCGGCCUGAGAGGGUGAACGGCCACAUUGGGACUGAGACACGGCCCAGACUCCUACGGGAGGCAGCAGUGGGGAAUAUUGCACAAUGGGGGAAACCCUGAUGCAGCGACGCCGCGUGAAGGAAGAAGUAUCUCGGUAUGUAAACUUCUAUCAGCAGGGAAGAUAGUGACGGUACCUGACUAAGAAGCCCCGGCUAACUACGUGCCAGCAGCCGCGGUAAUACGUAGGGGGCAGGCGUUAUCCGGAUUUACUGGGUGUAAAGGGAGCGUAGACGGUGUGGCAAGUCUGAUGUGAAAGGCAUGGGCUCAACCUGUGGACUGCAUUGGAAACUGUCAUACUUGAGUGCCGGAGGGGUAAGCGGAAUUCCUAGUGUAGCGGUGAAAUGCGUAGAUAUUAGGAGGAACACCAGUGGCGAAGGCGGCUUACUGGACGG
rnacentral:rRNA from 1 species